GGCUAGGUAGCUCAGCUGGUUAGAGCACACGACUCAUAAUCGUGGGGUCGGGGGUUCAAGUCCCCCCCUCGCCACCA
rnacentral:tRNA from 21 species